rnacentral:rRNA from 1 species
GACGAACGCUGGCGGCGUGCUUAACACAUGCAAGUCGAACGGCAACGCCCUGCUUGCAUGGUCCUCGAGUGGCGAACGGGUGAGUAACACGUGGGUGCUCUGCCCUGCACUUCGGGAUAAGCGUGAGAAACUGGGUCUAAUACCUGAUAGGAGCUAUCUUUAGCGUGGUGGUUGGAGAGUUCUUUCGGUGUAGGAUGAGCUGGCGGCCUAUCAUCUUGUUAGUGGGGUGGUGGCCUACCAAGGCGGCGACGGGUAGCAGGCCUGAGAGUGUGUACGGCCACAUUGGGACUGAGAUACGGCCCAGACUCCGGAGGGAGGCAGCAGGGGGGAAUAUUGCACAAUGGGCGCCAGCCUGAUGCAGCGAGGCCGCGUGGGGGAUGAAGGCUUUCGGGUUGUAAACACCUUUCGCUAGGGACGAAGCUUUUUUGUGACGGUACCUAGAUAAGAAGCACCGGCUAACUACGUG